rnacentral:rRNA from 1 species
UACCAGCACCCCGAGUGGUCGGGACGUUUAUAGGGCCUAAAGCAUCCGUAGCCGGUUCUACAAGUCUUCCGUUAAAUCCAACUGCUUAACAGGUGGGCUGCGGAAGAUACUAUAGAGCUAGGAGGCGGGAGAGGCAAGCGGUACUCGAUGGGUAGGGGUAAAAUCCGUUGAUCCAUUGAAGACCACCAGUGGCGAAGGCGGCUUGCCAGAACGCGCUCGACGGUGAGGGAUGAAAGCUGGGGGAGCAAACCGG